UCCCUGGUGGUCUAGUGGCUAGGACUCGGCACUUUCACUGCCGUGGCCCGGGUUUGAUUCCCGGUCAGGGAA